UCGCGGCCUAUCAGCUUGUUGGUGAGGUAACGGCUCACCAAGGCGACGACGGGUAGCCGGCCUGAGAGGGCGACCGGCCAUACUGGGACUGAGAUACGGCCCAGACUCCUACGGGAGGCAGCAGUGGGGAAUAUUGCACAAUGGGCGAAAGCCUGAUGCAGCAACGCCGCGUGCGGGAUGACGGCCUUCGGGUUGUAAACCGCUUUCAGCAGGGACGAAGCUAACGUGACGGUACCUGCAGAAGAAGCACCGGCUAACUACGUGCCAGCAGCCGCGGUGAUACGUAGGGUGCGAGCGUUGUCCGGAAUUAUUGGGCGUAAAGAGCUUGUAGGCGGUUUGUUGCGUCGGAAGUGAAAACUCAGAGCUUAACUCUGAGCCUGCUUUCGAUACGGGCAGACUUGAGGGAUGUAGGGGAGAACGGAAUUCCUGGUGGAGCGGUGGAAUGCGCAGAUAUCAGGAGGAACACCAGUGGCGAAGGCGGUUCUCUGGACAUUUCCUGACGCUGAGAAGCGAAAGCGUGGGGAGCAAACAGGCUUAGAUACCCUGGUAGUCCACGCCGUAAACGGUGGGCACUAGGUGUGGGACCCUUCCACGGGUUCCGUGCCGUAGCUAACGCAUUAAGUGCCCCGCCUGGGGAGUACGG
rnacentral:rRNA from 1 species